rnacentral:rRNA from 1 species
UACGUAGGGACCGAGCGUUGUCCGGAUUCAUUGGGCGUAAAGAGCUCGUAGGCGGCUGUUCAAGUCGAACGUGAAAACUCGGAGCUCAACUCCGAGCCUGCGUUCGAUACUGGAUGGCUAGAGUCUGGUAGGGGGAUCUGGAAUUCCUGGUGUAGCGGUGGAAUGCGCAGAUAUCAGGAGGAACACCGGUGGCGAAGGCGGGUCUCUGGACAUUUCCUGACGCUGAGGCACGAAAGCCAGGGGAGCAAACGGG